ACUCCUACGGGAGGCAGCAGUGGGGAAUCUUGGACAAUGGGGGCAACCCUGAUCCAGCCAUGCCGCGUGAGUGAUGAAGGCCUUAGGGUCGUAAAGCUCUUUCGCCUGUGAUGAUAAUGACAGUAGCAGGUAAAGAAACCCCGGCUAACUCCGUGCCAGCAGCCGCGGUAAUACGGAGGGGGUUAGCGUUGUUCGGAAUUACUGGGGCGUAAAGCGCGCGUAGGCGGAUUAGUCAGUUAGAGGUGAAAUCCCAGGGCUCAACCCUGGAACUGCCUUUAAUACUGCUAGUCUUGAGUUCGAGAGAGGUGAGUGGAAUUCCGAGUGUAGAGGUGAAAUUCGUAGAUAUUCGGAGGAACACCAGUGGCGAAGGCGGCUCACUGGCUCGAUACUGACGCUGAGGUGCGAAAGUGUGGGGAGCAAACAGGAUUAGAU
rnacentral:rRNA from 1 species